CAUUCACUGAAGGAACAGAAAUGAUUUGGGAGACACUGAAGUGAUCUUAUCAUUUGGGUUAUCAAUAACUAAGCCUCUAUAAAUAUCAACACUUCAUCCAUUACAUAGUGAAAAACACAGAGGCUACCAACUGGGAUCUGGACUGGGUGUAAUGCAAUGAUUCAGUAUCCUUUGGAGUUGGAGGGCCCGGCUGAGAGAGGGCCACAGAGUGGAGCUGUGGAGUCGAAAUGGGUGGGAGCAGCCGCGCCCACAGUUAGGGGUCAGUGUGUGUUCAGACACUACAGUGAGCAUCUCUGCGAGGAUGGGUUUAUGCAGAAAGAAGAGGGAUCAUGAAAAGUGCAAUCCCUGUGUCCUGAGAUACUCCAGCAGUAUAGGAAAUUGACGUUAGUGUCUAUGGUUUCCUGUCAACGGGGAAUCUAAGAGAAAAGUGUUAAAAAAGCCACUUGUUUCAACUAUAAAGAGAUGUUACCCAGAUUUCUCACUCUGUAAGUGCCAGGGACAAACAUAUGACAGGCAGAACAGGACGUCAGAGAACAGUAAUGCUAAAAGAUAGGAAUAGGAUGUGUGUAAAAUAUUCCCUCAGUACAUUGCUGCUAAUCUGUCAGGAGGAGUGGGGCUGGCUAAUGAGGUAAUGAAAGAAGAAUAAUGCAAAUUAUAGUUCAUAUUUACUAUGAAAUGAUUCUGUUUCAGGCUCUAUGCUCAAGGUUCUAUUCAGUCACCAAACCUGUGCUUCUGAAAGAGGACAGCGUAGAUUAAUAAGGAAAUCAGUUAUUGGUAGCUGCCUUUUGUUAUCAACACUGACAAAUUUGCUGUCUUUACUAUGCCUUCCAAGUGACUAAUAUCAGUAGAUUUGGUUAAUAUUUUAUCAUACAUUUAAUUGGAGAACUACUGAAAUCAUUUUGAGAUCAUUAAAAUUUGAGAAUGCCAAACAAAUCUAAUUUUUGAUAUUAGCUUUCAAUUUAUAAAGCAAGGAAGCAAAUCUUUAUACUACCUUAUGGCCAUUUAGAAAACCUACAGUUUAGAUGUAAUAGACAUCAUUAAUAUUUUUAUUAUCUGGAGCUGAAAUUGGCAAAGACAAUCAAGAAGAGUUGUUUUCAAAAAGCAAGGAGAUAUGUUAUUAAAGCUACCUCACCAAAAGUCACAGAACUCAGUUAGCUUUCCAAGAGAGUCCUUCAAAUACUUAAAAAUAGGCCAGGCGCGGUGGCUCACACCUGUAAUCUCAGCACUUUGGGAGGCCAACGCGGGCGGAUCAUGAGGUCAGCAGAUGGAGACCAUCCUAGCUAACAUGGUGAAACUCCGUCUCUACUAAAAACACAAAAAAUUAGCCAGGCAUGGUGGCACGCACCUGUAGUCCCAGCUACUUGGGAGACUGAGGCAGGAGAAUUGCUUGAACCCGGGAGGCAGAGGUUGCAGUGAGCCAAGAUCACGCCACUGCACUCCAGCCUGGGCAAUGGAGCAACAGUCCAUCUCAAAAAAAAAGAAAAAAAAUUGAGUAAUGUUGUUUAAACUCUUUGGAAGCAGAGAAAAAGAUAAAUCACUUCCUGAUGCACAUAGUAUUUAUGAAGCUAGAAUAACUGUGGGAGCAAACCCAACAGAAUAAAUGGGCAGUUUGAUGUCCAACAAUGAGGGAUUCCAGAGAGCGGGGCAAAGGAGUCUCUCAGAGCAGGAGAAUGAAGAGGGACUUCCAGGACAUUUUUACUUGAGGAUCCACGAACUCUGAUCAACUCUCUGCUCCAAAGAAGGGUUCUGUGCUUGCUAAAUGUAGUAACUGGCAAUUGAACCAGUCCUGACACUCUCCCAAAUUAGAUGUAUACGUGUGUGUGUGUGUGUGUGUGUGUGUGUGUGUGUGUGUGGCUGUGAGAGAGCGAGAGAAAGAGAGAGAGGCAGGGCCUCACUCUGCUUGCUCUGUCAUACAGGCUGGAGUACAGUGGCAUGAUUUCAGCUCACUGCAACCUUGACUUCCCAGGUUCAGGUGAUUCUCCUACCUCAACCUCCCAAGUAGCUGGGACUACAGAAGUGUGCCACCAAGUCUGGCUAAUUUUUGUGUUUUUUGUAGACUGGGUUUCGCUAUGUUGCCCAGGCCGGUCUCCAACUCCUGGGAUCAAGCCAUCUGCCCGCCUCAGCCUCCCAAAGUGCUGGGAUUACAGGAAUGAGCCACUGCGCCCAGCCUAGAUGUAUACUCUUUUCACUUGAGACCCACCUGUCUUUUCACUUAAAAAAAAAUCAGAUGUUAUAUUCUGGCAUCAAUGAUAGAAUCUCAGAUUCCUGUUCUUUAUUACAAAACCAAAUAAAGUGGGGAGAUUUCCCUCCUAUAACCCUGAAGACAUUCUUAUUUCACAGCUACUCCCUUGGCCUGGACUAUCGACGGACAACAGAAGUUUCAUGGAAACCAGCUAAAUAACAAGAUAGCUGUGCAAAGCUUUCCUAUGUGGUGAAGUCACUUUUAUUUAGAAGAUAAUCAGCUGUUGUCACAUCUUCACCUAUGCUUAAAAAAAAAAAAAAAAAAAAAAAAACUAGGGUCUGUGCAUGAGCCAGGAUUAAACUAAGCAGCAAACACACCCAGAGAACUGAACAAAGGAGAGCAAGAAAGGGUUUAGAGAUCACAUGGAUAAUUAUUUCUAAGGAUCGCUGGGUGCUGGGAAAGUGUAUUCUAAGGGGAUGAUACUGUGGGUAAUAAAAAGCUAUUUCUGGUUUUGUUUGUUUUUAAUAUAUAAUCUUCACUAUCCAGCUGACUUAGAAAAAAUUCAUAAGUGAUGCAUGUCAGAUAUCAAAUUCUAUUAAAAACCUAAAACUCAGCUGUGUUCUUUCCUUCUUUCCCCUUAUACCCCAAGGCAAGGAAUCAAGGCUUCUAGACACCACCGGAUGAGUCAAGGUACCGUGGCCCAGACAAACUAAGCACUGGUUCUGUCACCACAUAGACACAAAGGCAUUCAAGAAACCACAGCCCUCUGGCUUUGUUGCUCCUUCCUUCAUAAUCAAAUCAACAGAGUGUGUUUGUAGAAUUCACCCACAACACAAACAGAUGCCGCGAAACACCUUGGAGCGGUUGGCCGGCAGAAAUGCCCACUGAGCGGGCUGUGAUUCACUCGGGAGGAGGAAGGCCUCGGAGGGCAGCCAAUCGAAGACGGACCCAGGGAAAAGUCGCUGGGUUCUUACAGGAAGCGAUCUAAUUAUGUUACUGUAAUCCUCAAGCUCGCA
rnacentral:lncRNA from 1 species